GAUGAACGCUGGCGGCGUGCCUAAUACAUGCAAGUCGAGCGAACAGACGAGGAGCUUGCUCCUCUGACGUUAGCGGCGGACGGGUGAGUAACACGUGGAUAACCUACCUAUAAGACUGGGAUAACUUCGGGAAACCGGAGCUAAUACCGGAUAAUACAUUGAACCGCAUGGUUCAAUAGUGAAAGACGGUUUUGCUGUCACUUAUAGAUGGAUCCGCGCCGCAUUAGCUAGUUGGUAAGGUAACGGCUUACCAAGGCAACGAUGCGUAGCCGACCUGAGAGGGUGAUCGGCCACACUGGAACUGAGGCACGGUCCAGACUCCUACGGGAGGCAGCAGUAGGGAAUCUUCCGCAAUGGGCGAAAGCCUGACGGAGCAACGCCGCGUGAGUGAUGAAGGUCUUCGGAUCGUAAAACUCUGUUAUUAGGGAAGAACAAAUGUGUAAGUAACUAUGCACGUCUUGACGGUACCUAAUCAGAAAGCCACGGCUAACUACGUG
rnacentral:rRNA from 1 species